GCCUAAUACAUGCAAGUCGAGCGAACUGAUUAGAAGCUUGCUUCUAUGACGUUAGCGGCGGACGGGUGAGUAACACGUGGGCAACCUGCCUGUAAGACUGGGAUAACUUCGGGAAACCGAAGCUAAUACCGGAUAGGAUCUUCUCCUUCAUGGGAGAUGAUUGAAAGAUGGUUUCGGCUAUCACUUACAGAUGGGCCCGCGGUGCAUUAGCUAGUUGGUGAGGUAACGGCUCACCAAGGCAACGAUGCAUAGCCGACCUGAGAGGGUGAUCGGCCACACUGGGACUGAGACACGGCCCAGACUCCUACGGGAGGCAGCAGUAGGGAAUCUUCCGCAAUGGACGAAAGUCUGACGGAGCAACGCCGCGUGAGUGAUGAAGGCUUUCGGGUCGUAAAACUCUGUUGUUAGGGAAGAACAAGUACAAGAGUAACUGCUUGUACCUUGACGGUACCUAACCAGAAAGCCACGGCUAACUACGUGCCAGCAGCCGCGGUAAUACGUAGGUGGCAAGCGUUAUCCGGAAUUAUUGGGCGUAAAGCGCGCGCAGGCGGUUUCUUAAGUCUGAUGUGAAAGCCCACGGCUCAACCGUGGAGGGUCAUUGGAAACUGGGGAACUUGAGUGCAGAAGAGAAAAGCGGAAUUCCACGUGUAGCG
rnacentral:rRNA from 1 species